rnacentral:rRNA from 1 species
AUGGACACCGAAUGGGAACUAAAAUUUCCUAUGGUAACCGUGCGAGCCCUAGAGCGUAUCGAGGCAUUAUCAGAUCAUGCACCCAUCAUUCUGGAUUCUAACUCUAUGAACCCAGCAGCCCGUCGCCCUUUCAAAUUUGAAUUGGGAUGGCUGCAUCUGGAUGGAUUUGUAGACAUAAUCAAGAAUGUUUGGGAGAAGCCCGCCGUUGGUCGCACACCUAUUCAGAGAUGGAACUUUAAAAUAAGGGCCAUGAGGCAACACCUCGCUGGAUGGGCAAAACACACCAACGGGAUAUAUAAAAAAGAAAAACAACGGCUCUCUACCAUUAUUGACGACCUCGACAAGAUUGCAGAGACACGCACCUUAUCUCAACAAGAGAUUGAAUUAAAAAAUCAAUCUAAUGAGAAGGUCGCCCGUCUUUUGCGAGAAGAGGAGAUCAAAUACUACCAGAGAUCUAAAGCUGAUCUCAUAUUGAUGGGUGAUAGUAAUACAAGAUACUUCCAAUUGAUCGCUAAUGGGCGACAUAGGAAAAAAUGUAUUUACAGUCUCCAACAAGAUGAGGGGCUGAUCGAAGGUCAGGAGGAGCUCAAAAAGUAUAUCACCAAAUACUAUAAAUCGUUGUUCGGCACGCCGGCUGAGGGGAACUUCACCCUUGAUGAGACCCGAACAGAUGAUAUUUCACAAGUCACGGCAGAAGAAAACGGUCGUUCGUGUAUACAGGGCUCCUUCGGCUUGGCUCCGAAAUCUUUAUAUUCACACUUUCGACGGGAUGUUUUCCACGCCUCUUAA